rnacentral:rRNA from 1 species
CCUACGGGAGGCUGCAGUGGGGAAUUUUGCGCAAUGCUCGUAAGAGUGACGCAGCGACGCCGCGUGAAUGACGAAGGCCUUCGGGUCGUAAAGUUCUUUCGACAGGGAAGAAAAUGCCUAUAAGUAACUGUGUAUGUAUUGACGGUACCUGUAUAAGCAGCCCCGGCUAACUCCGUGCCAGCAGCCGCGGUAAUACGGAGGGGGCGAGCGUUGUUCGGAGUGACUGGGCGUAAAGAGCACGUAGGCGGUGUUGUAAGUCAUUAGUCAAAGACUAGAGCUCAACUUUAGUAAGGCUAGUGAUACUAUAAUACUAGAGUAUCAGAGAGGAUUGCAGAAUUCCUGGUGUAGCGGUGAAAUGCGUAGAUAUCAGGAGGAAUACCGUUAGCGAAGGCGGCAAUCUGG